AUUGAACGCUGGCGGCAUGCCUAUCACAUGCAAGUCGAACGGCAGCAUAGUAUGUACUUGUACAUAUGGGUGGCGAGUGGCGAACGGGUGAGUAAUGCGUCGGAACGUGCCGAGUAGUGGGGGAUAACGCAGCGAAAGUUGUGCUAAUACCGCAUACGUACUGAGGUAGAAAGUGGGGGACCUUCGGGCCUAACGCUAUUCGAGCGGCCGACGUCUGAUUAGCUAGUAGGUGAGGUAAAGGCUCACCUAGGCGACGAUCAGUAGCGGGUCUGAGAGGAUGAUCCGCCACACUGGGACUGAGACACGGCCCAGACUCCUACGGGAGGCAGCAGUGGGGAAUUUUGGACGAUGGGCGAAAGCCUGAUCCAGCCAUGCCGCGUGUCUGAAGAAGGCCUUCGGGUUGUAAAGGACUUUUGUCGGGGAGGAAAUUCCCAGCGUUAAUACCGCUGGGGGAUGACAGUACCUGAAGAAUAAGCACCGGCUAACUACGUGCCAGCCGCCGCCGUAA
rnacentral:rRNA from 1 species